UACGUAGGUGGCAAGCGUUGUCCGGAUUUACUGGGCGUAAAGAGCGCGCAGGCGGUCGUUCAAGUCGCGUGUGAAAGCCCCCGGCUCAACUGGGGAGGGUCACGCGAUACUGAUCGACUCGAAGGCAGGAGAGGGAAGUGGAAUUCCCGGUGUUGUGGUGAAAUGCGUAGAUAUCGGGAGGAACACCAGUGGCGAAGGCGACUUCCUGGCCUGUUCUUGACGCUGAGGCGCGAAAGCUAGGGGAGCAAACGGG
rnacentral:rRNA from 1 species